GACGAAGGGGGCUAGCGUUGUUCGGAAUUACUGGGCGUAAAGCGCGUGUAGGCGGUUGUUCAAGUCAGGUGUGAAAGCCUUGAGCUCAACUCAAGAAAUGCACUUGAUACUGGAUGACUAGAGGACCGGAGAGGAUAGUGGAAUUCCCAGUGUAGUGGUGAAAUACGUAGAGAUUGGGAAGAACACCAGUGGCGAAGGCGACUCACUGGACACAUAUUGACGCUGAGGUGCGAAAGCGUGGGGAGCAAACAGG
rnacentral:rRNA from 1 species